rnacentral:rRNA from 1 species
UACGAAGGGUGCAAGCGUUACUCGGAAUUACUGGGCGUAAAGCGUGCGUAGGUGGUGCGUUAAGUCUGUCGUGAAAGCCCCGGGCUCAACCUGGGAACGGCGAUGGAUACUGGCGCGCUAGAGUGCGGUAGAGGAGAGUGGAAUUCCCGGUGUAGCAGUGAAAUGCGUAGAUAUCGAGAGGAACACCAGUGGCGAAGGCGAGUCUCUGGACGACACCUGACACUGAGGCACGAAAGCCAGGGGAGCAAACAGG